rnacentral:tRNA from 1 species
GGGUUGUGGCUCAGAGAUAGAGCGCUUGCCUAGCAUGUGAGGGGUCCUGGGUUCAAUCCUCAGCCCCA